UCGCCUGUUUAACAAAAACAUAGCUUUAUGGAGUUUAUAUAAAGUUUUACCUGCCCAAUGAUAUUAUUUAAAUGGCCGCAGUACUUUGACUGUGCUAAGGUAGCAUAAUAAAUUGACUUUUAAUUAAGGUCUAGAAUGAAAGGAUAAAUGAAUAUUUACUAUCUAUACUGAAUUUAUAUAAAUUUUCUUAGUAGGUGAAAAUUCCUUCAUUUUAAUUUAAAAGACGAGAAGACCCUAGGAGUUUAAAUAUUAUUUUGUUGGGGUAACAUUAUAGCAUAUAACCUAUAAGUAAAUAUUAUAUAAAACGAAGUAUUUUAAUUUUAAAUAAACUACCCUAGGGAUAACAGCAUAAUUUAUUACGAAAAAGUUUGUGACCUCGAUGUUGGAUUAGGGACUUUAUUUAUUAAAUAUACUUAUUGACAUGGUCUGUUCGAACAUUUUAUACCUACGUGAUCUGAGUUCAGACCGGA
rnacentral:rRNA from 1 species